rnacentral:lncRNA from 1 species
CUCUUGAUUAGCUGUGUGACGUUUCACAGGUUGCCUAACCCCUCUGAGGUUUGGGUUUCACAGCCAUUAAAUGGGUUGAAUACCCAGGAACCUGAUUACCUUGAGGUGGUCAUGGGGUCAGGCCUGCAGCUCCAGCCUUGGAGGUGUUCUGUUUGGGCAGCCAUCAGGGGAAACUACUUGAGGAGGAGCCAGUGCCUUGGGAUUAAGAAGAUGGUGCUCCUCCCUCAGGGUAAUAGGAGGGGGAGUUCUUAAAUGUCCUGGAGUAUCCAGGUCUGGAGAGAAGACGACAUGACCUGAAACUCAGCAGGUGGUGGUGAGCUUCAGACUGCUGAGGCUGUGGCAGAGGCAGUGUGCAGUUCUCUGCCCCAUCCUUUGAAAUACCAGGAGCGCAGCUGACACAGGCUGAAAGGGAAACUUAGUUGUGAUACAGCCAAGAGCCUGUCAGCUUCUGUAGGGGGUUCUCCUUACCCUGAGUGUAUAGAGAGGUGAUGACCACUGGUGGGAGCUGAGAAACCAUAUAGCCGCCUGCAACAAGUAAAUGUUGAUAUUUGCAUUGGAGAUAUGGGGAGUUAACACUCUCCACGGGAGAUUUGUUCUUUUGCUUACAGUUUCUUACUUAGGUAACUGAGAAGUGAAGCUUUUGAAAAAUCAAAAAAGAAAUUUAACUUAUUAUGUGGGGUAGGGACAAAGGAAAGUCACCAAGUUCAGGAAUGGCGUAACCCAGCCUUGCUGUAAGAGGGUGACAUCUGUGCCUGACCAUAGGCUGACACUGGUGACCAGGGCCAUCUGGGGCAGAGCUGUGAACCCAAGGAAGCAGCUGAAUAAGCAAGCAGGCAGCCUGCCAUGGGGCCCUGCUCCAAGAACCGGUCCUUCUGCUGGAUGAUUGGGCUCCUGGUAUUCAUUAACCUCCUCCUUAGUGUCUGCAGCACGGCAGCCAACACUUCUGGAGCACAUGGCUCUGCAGUGAAGGAUUCUGGAGCCCCCAUUCAUCUGAAGGGGAUCCGAGGAGGUUCUGUCUUGUUGCAUGUGAUUGAGAAGCUCAGAGUAGAUGUAGGUGCUGAGCUGGAGGAGGUUCUGUGGGCUUUGGGCACUCUGUCAAAUCAUACACAGCUUCUGCAAGUCCACAGCGGGGCCGAUUCUCCAACCUGGUUGAAACUCCAGGACAAGUUCAAGCAGAGCAUCCAUGUACCCAGCAUGUCAUCCCUGAGGAUUGAGAACCUGGCCCUUGAGGACAGUGGGCAGUACUUUGCCCUCAUCUCUAGUGGGGGAGAUGGGAUUGUGUAG